UGGGGGUACUUUUGUAAAAUAAAUAUUUUUUAAUAGUCUUUAUACAAGACUUGCUAUUUCCAAUACAUCAAACCAAACAAUGUAUAAGAAAUAAUGCAAGCAUUACUAAUGCUUGCAUUACUAAUACAUCAUAUUCAGCAUUAUUCUUAUACACUCUACCAAACGACCCCUUAGUUCUUCUACUUUACACAAAACACAAGAUUAAUUCAAGAUGAGUUCAUUCAGAAAGCUAAACCAACGAGGAGAAAAGCUCUACUUAUAAACAUAGGAAUUCAUCAAAUCUUUAUACCAGCAGGUUGCUCAACUACAAUGAUACCAAAUAAGGACAACAAAAUAGAGGGGCAUUUGGAAAAGGGCUAACAGGUGCAUGGCUUUAGCAAAAGCAAACAAUGGGCUGCUGCAUCUUGAUAACCAAAGCAACAUGUUGGGUUAAAUAUAAAAUCUCUACAUGAAAAUUUACCGGUAAAGGAAUAGAAAGAUUAUCAAACGAGCUAAAUUAUCUAAUGAAAUCAGUAAUACACAUUACUCAAAGAAUUCAACAAGACGAAGCACAAGGAUGGAAGCAUGUUUUGACAGGUAACUAUAUUUACAUGGGCGAUGAUAGGUAAGAAAACAGAGCUUCAAAUGAACAGCAGGGGUUAAAACUUGAUUAAGAUGGAAAAAUUCGAAGCAAAACUAGACUAAAUGAAUACCGAAAAAGUUCGAAACAGGGUGAUAUACAUCGAAGCAGAAAAGAAGAGCAGAUGAAUAAGAUUUAAGCUAAAUUUGAGACUUAAAACAAAAUACAACCUGAAAUUCAAAUUUAAAGCAGCAAAAUCACGACCAGAUUGUAAUCAAGGAAGAGAAAAAUUAAUUAGAAUGCUACAACAGACAAAGGGUUGACAUAAGUGGACAUGAGGGAGUUUCAGAUUGAGCAAUGACAGAGAUCAAGACAUAUCCUUGAGCAGGAGAGAAAUAAGCAUGUAUUCCAAAUCAUUCAAAUAAGCAGCAACCUUACAAACUUCAUUGGAACCUAAUGACUACAUAUAGCUAUCUCUACCACCCUAAUAAUUACUCAUGAGUAAACUCGUAAGUAUGACAUCAUUCUAUCAUUUACUGCUAUCUAAACAGACACGAAAAAUGAUCAAAAUCAGUGGAAAAACAAGUUCCAUCGCAGACAAAAGACAGAGACUUUCAUAUAUUUGCAGGUUUAAAACACGAUGGACUUCUGAGUCUGGCUUAUACUAUUAUGAACUUUAAAGACAAUUAGCAGCCCACGAAUUCAAGCUUGCAUCAGCUUCAUAUACCAAACAUUAUGCUAGUCAUGGAAAAUCAAUUUUAGACAAUAAAUUGGCUAAGCCAAGGAAAACCAAACUCUGCCAGAAAGAGGAAAUCUGCGUACUUACUGAUAGAAAACAACUGUUUAACAAAAAAGGGAGCAAUAUGCUGAGAUCAUGGAGACAACAGAAAAAGGAUUAAUGGAUAAAAGGAGACUCGCUGCAUGAGGUAGCUUAUACGAAGUAACAAUACACAUUCAGUCAAAGCUUAUGGCAAAUCAAAACCAUAUAGUCCAAGUCAAGAAAUAUGCUCUAGAGUGUAAUCAACAUAGCUUAAACUAAUCACAGCUAGCAUCCAAACUAAAACAACAACUUUUCUAUAUUUUUAAAUGGAACAGUAACUAAAAAUCUUAGGUAAGACACAGUGGAUUCUUAAUCAGUCCCAACACACAAUAACUAAAAUAUUACUAAGAACACCUAAACGGAAAAUGUAGAACAACUACGAAUCCAAAAAAAAAAAAAAAGCUAAGAAAGGACUUUUACCUCUUUCUGGGCAGCGAACCGAGAUUACGAGUUUAUGAACACGACUCCACCGCCAGCCGUGCUUCACCGGGUUCCGAGACCAACGAGUUCGAACGGAAAGUCGCAAAGCUCUUUUUAAUCUCUUAAUGUAUGUAUUAUAUAGCUAUUUCUGGGAAUUUUAUGUUUCUCCAAUCUAUUUCUUUGAUGAAGAUCCUCUAGGUUUUGAGUGAUAAAUCAGUGUCCAAAAAAAUCCCCCUGAAACAGAGAGUAGAGGAGGAUUUAUAUAGAAGAAAUUGGAGCUGAAUUAAGGGGGGGAAACGGGUGGAAUUGGGUGAAUUCGAAAUUCGAUUCCUUCCUUGAGGAUAAGGUUAGCCAGCUCGAUUUGGUACAACGGAAAAAUGAUGAGGGCCACUUGAUUACUAGCAAGGAUGAGCGAGCUAUAAGAUUGAGACACCUGGAUCAAUUCUCGAAUGAUUGGGUGUCACACUAACACAACAUGUUGUACAAUUAAGCACUGCAGUAUUAGUCCUUUUACUUGUUGGCUUACUAUAAUAUAAUAAAUAUAAUAUAUAGAAUAUAGAAUGUACAUCGUUUAUGGUGGAUUACAUAGAUGUGUAAAGAAUGAAUUGAAUUAAAUAACAUGUUCCCUAAACAUAGAUGUGUAAAGAAUGAAUUGAAUUAAAUAACAUGUUCUUUCCCUAAACUAAUUAAUAAUUCAUCUUUUCCAGUAGUGGAUCCAAUGUGUUCACUAUGGUUUCACGGUAACCAGUAGCUUAUGACUUGAGGUCGUAGUAGGAACCAUAAACUUCGAAUUCUGGAUCUGCCUCUAAUCUUUGCUUAGAUCCCUAACUUUGAAGAGACAAACAAACAAAGAAGGACGAAAGAGUAUGAAGCUGUAGCCUGUAUGGUGAUGUUGCUGUUGAAUCACAGUAACCUCGGCAUCAGCGUCUAAGUGUGACUACCUCUUCAUCCCUCCGAAAACGGUGACACCUCAGGAAAGCCUGUUUUGGAAUUAACAAGACUAUCUCAAGGGAGACUAAUCCAUCAGAUGCAGCUAGCAGGUAGUUCCUGAUUCACAUUGUCCACUAUUCGUAAAUCGUUGUAAGAAUGUCUGAUUAGCUGCUUAUGGUCUGAAAGGAGUUACAUGGAGGAAUGGAUAGUAGUACUGUUGCACAUGCACUCUGGGACAGGGUACUUCGUAACAUCCCUUCCUGUCUUCCUGAGUUCUGGCUGACCUAACGAAUCUUUGUGCAAGUCCAGUAUAAUUUUGUUGAACUCUGACUCAGAGAGAUAUGAGUUAAGAAAAUGCGGGAGCAUCUGUCUCUUAUUAGGAGUGAUAGUCUUUUUGUGCCCUGCAUAGGCCCUGUGUCCCUGUUACAAAAACGACCACAAUCAACAAUAAUAAAGGAAACUUAAAUAAUCCAACCCCGGCAUUUUGGUAGGGAUUGUUAGGUUAUAAGAAGGGCUUACAACAGAAUGAACCAAACAUAUAUCAUACACAGUUUUCAGUUGCAUAUUUAUCUCAAGGCCAAGAUGAUUAUGGAGUUUUUUUUUUGAUAGGUAAUAAGAUCAUGGACAAUAUUAAGGAAGAUGUUACCUUUCUAAAAAAAAAACAAAAAAAAUAUUAAGGAAGAAAACAAAAAGAACCAGAUCAGAUAAAUAGUUUCCCAAAAAAUAAUACGGUAGAUCAGUAGAACAGGUUGAGGGUAUAUGGCAUGUGUUUGAGCUCCAAACGACAACAUUAAAAUUUUACAUUUGAAUUUUUAAAAAAUUCUUGUUAAUUUUUUUUCUAUGGUAAGGUUAUAGAGUGGUCAGGAGUGAAAUGUAAUGCAAACUAUAGAGGGGUCAGGAGUGGGUUGUAAUGCAAACUAUCUUCAGUGACUUGUAUUGUCCUACUCAUAAUUCAAGUUUCUACAAACUCACUCACUAAACUCUAAGUCAUAAAUGUUUUCUAGGUUCAUGUUAGUUCAGUCUGUAGGUUUCUGGACCAAUGUUCUUGAACUAUUACCAAGAACCUUAUACACUGGAGGCAGUACCUGGAUAGCAUGACCCAUGUUUCCUCCAUGAGAUGGCAUAAACAUGUCACUGUUCUCACACACUAUGUAGUCAAUAGCAGCCAUAAGUGAUGCUUUCUUUGAAAAUGGUUCAAGCUCCCCAGGCAAAGCAAGAUCCUCUUUGUUAUAGAAAUGGGGAAAUUCCUUGGUCAACGGCUGCAAAGCUUCUUUCCCACCGAACGGAAUGCCACCAGCCCAAUAGAUCCUUGCGCCCUUUGGAGCUCCCAGAGCCUUGAUCAGCCUAAACAGAGAUUGCAGAUUUGUCAAAUACAGAAACAUUUUUUAAGUGCAUCAAAAGACAAGGGAAGAAACGGAACACUUCCUCAGGAAGUAUAACACUUGCCUUGUAACUUCCAACGCAUUCAAGGGGCAGAGACCAGCAAGCUUUCUUUCAUGGUAGGUCAUAUUUGACCUUGAAGUUAAUAGGUCAGGUCUACGUUUCCGCUCAUUGUUUAUCAUUUCAUCAUACUCAUGACUUAAACCAGGAAGACAUCCGGUCCUCACCCACACAUCCUUCUCCAUUCGCAAAUGCAGAGCAAGAAAUGAUCCCUUGCUCCUCAUCCUCUCUGUAAGUUUAUUACCGAGCUCUAAGAUUGAUGGGUUAAACCUCAAAGCAUGAAAAGCCACCUAAAAGUUCACAGAAAAAUAAAUUAGAAGACACCAUAUUUUAAUUCUUGUUUCCACUGGAGUGAGGUGGAGCAUCCAGAUUAAAAGCCACCUACCUUGCAACGAAGUUUCUGAAGAUUGGAUGGUAGAUCCUUAGAUACCCUUGAGUCAAGACCUCGUAAAAGAAGAACUCCAUCCCUUCUAAGCUGCAGCAAGAUCAACCAGAACUAUUUAAGUACAAGAAAUUUCAGCAUCAUCUUUUAAAAACAGAGAACCUGUUUUCAAUUAUUUUUUCACUAGAGACUGUGUUAGACAAACCAAAAUACUAAAUCAAGCAAGCUUUUGCCAAUGAAAUAUACUUGUGUAAAACCUGAAGUAGUAUUACUAUAUUAAUUUCAGGUAACUGUGAUUUAUCAAAGAGUAUAAAAAAUUCUCUCGAGCUGUCAUAAGUCAAUUCUAAGACUUUGCCAGCCAACUAAAACACCACAAGUUUAAUGACUUUAAGAGAACAAAAUUUGGAAUACAAUGAAGAACAAAGUAAUGUCCCAAUAGCUAAUAUCAACGUUCAUCAUCUAUUGCUACAAAUAGAAACAUGGACUUGCUAAAUACCACUGAUCAUAUACUGAAGCUAUGGUCUUACUAAGAAAAUGUUAUGAUCACCAUCUUUUUCUUGCAUUCCAUUUUUUAGGUUGGACUUGAACUUUUCAAGGGGAAGGAACUCUAAAACCUUUCUAGACUUGAACUUUUUCUCACCUUUCUGGUGUAAUGUGACCGUAUCCAUUCAGGGGAAGCAUGAAGAGGAGUCCGUUUCUCCUCUACUGGCCUUGUCAUUACGUGUGUAGAUGGAAGCGAUGAAACUAUUCGAACGUCAUUUCCCAAAACAUUUUUGAAAUGAUCCAAGUCGAAAAUAUCAGAAAACUCACUGCAAACACACAGACCAUACAUUAGAAGUUUACAGAAUAUCACAAAAGCUGAAAUAAAAAACAAAAUCCAUCUGAAAUUUUCUGUACACAGUAAUUAAACCUAACUUAGUAUUAUUUCUUUGAUGAACAGAUUAUUGCAAAUGAGACUAAAAAUGGAAGGAAUAAAGAGCAAACCUUUCAUCAGCCCAAAUAGGAUUGACUUGAAAAAUGGGAACAACCAAAGCAGCCUCAAGAAUUCUUGCAAUCACUACAGCAUCAACAAUUUGAUUUCUCUGCUGAUUCAUUCCCCCAGAAACCACAACCAUCAGAUACCUAGUCUUGUCAUUGAGAAUCUCUCUACUUGCCUUACUGAAAUCCAAACAAGGCCUGUAACCCAAUCCAUCAGGUUGCUUCCAGAACUCACUCUUUUCAUUCACAAUACUUUUUUCAUUCACACUAAACAAUUCAUGGGAAAUGGAACAUGGGUUUUGUGAGAAAGGAACAAAGUCCAACCACAUCCCAACAAAACCAAAUAGAAAAACUAAGAAAAUCCAGAAUCUUGGAUUAGUUAGCAAAGGCUUAAGCUUUAGAGAUAAAGAAGGACUAAUUUUCUUUUCAG
rnacentral:lncRNA from 1 species